GAGUGUUACAGCUUUUUUAGAAUUUGUCUAGCAGGUUUUCAGGUUUUUACUGGAAAGCCCUC
ensembl:snRNA U7 U7 small nuclear RNA